rnacentral:lncRNA from 1 species
UUGGACUUUCGAGAGUGGCUCUGGGGAGGCCUAAACUCCUCUAAAAGUAGAGCGUCUGUCUCUUCGAAGAGCUCUCUUUUCUCGGCUCAUUCCUUCGGAGAUUCUGGCCCUCUUGGAUGGACCACCACUGGGGCUCUUUUGAGGGUGAGUUUCAAGACAAGGAGAACCUCUUUUCACUUCAAGUGUCCUCCUCAGGUGCUCUGGGUCAUCACGGAUCCGACG